rnacentral:rRNA from 1 species
GACAGAGGAUGCAAGCGUUAUCCGGAAUGAUUGGGCGUAAAGCGUCUGUAGGUGGCUUAAAAAAGUCUCCUGUCAAAGAUCAGGCUUAACCCUGGGCCGGCAGGAGAAACUCUUAGGCUAGAGUGUUGAGGGGGCAGGAGGGAAUUCCCGGUGGAGCGGUGAAAUGCGUAGAGAUCGGGAGGAACACCAAAGGCGAAAGCACUCUGCUGGGCCGACACUGACACUGAGUGACGAAAGCUAGGGGAGCGAAUGGG